GUGGGGAAUCUUGCGCAAUGGGCGAAAGCCUGACGCAGCCAUGCCGCGUGAAUGAUGAAGGUCUUAGGAUUAUAAAAUUCUUUCACCGGGGACGAUAAUGACGGUACCCGGAGAAGAAGCUCCGGCUAACUUCGUGCCAGCAGCCGCGGUAAUACGAAGGGGGCUAGCGUUGCUCGGAAUUACUGGGCGUAAAGGGCGCGUAGGCGGACAGCUUAGUCAGAGGUGAAAGCCCAGGGCUCAACCUUGGAAUUGCCUUUGAUACUGGCUGUCUUGAGUAUGGGAGAGGUGAGUGGAACUCCGGGUGUAGAGGUGAAAUUCGUAGAUAUUCGGAAGAACACCAGUGGCGAAGGCGACUCACUGGCCCAAUACUGACGCUGAGGCGCGAAAGCGUGGGGAGCAAACAGGAUUAGAUACCCGUGUAGUCC
rnacentral:rRNA from 1 species